rnacentral:rRNA from 1 species
AGAGUUUGAUCCUGGCUCAGAACGAACGCUGGCGGCGUGGAUUAGGCAUGCAAGUCGAACGAGAAUCUGGUUCUUCAAGUUUUCGGACAAGAAGGAUCGGAGGACAGUGGCGGAAGGGUGAGUACAACAUGGGUAAUCUAUCUUCAAGUUGGGUAUAACUCCUCGAAAGGGGAGAUAAUCCCGAAUGUGGUGAUCCGGCGCAUGCCGGAGAAUCUAAAGGCGGGGACCGCAAGGCCUGUCGCUUGAAGCUGAGCCCGUGCACUAUCAGCUAGUUGGUGAGGUAAUGGCUCACCAAGGCUAUGACGGUUAGCUGGUCUGAGAGGAUGGUCAGCCACACUGGGACUGAGAUACUGCCCAGACUCCUACGGGAGGCUGCAGUCGAGAAUCAUUCGCAAUGGGCGAAAGCCUGACGGUGCGACGUCGCGUGGAGGAUGAAGGUCUUCGGAUUGUAAACUCCUGUCAUGAGGGAUAAAUGGCCAGGGCACGAAUAGUGCCUUGGAAUGAUAGUACCUCAGGAGGAAGAGACGGCUAACUCUGUGCCAGCAGCCGCGGUAAUA